ensembl:snRNA U6 U6 spliceosomal RNA
CUACUUUCCUUCGACAGCACAUAGACUAAAUGUGGAACAAUACAGAGAAGAUCAGCAUGGCCCCUGUGGAAGGUUGACAUGCAAAUUCAUGAAGUGCUUCCUAUUUUU